AUAAAUUGUGGUUUAAUACCAUACAUCCAAACGACAAAAAUAAUUCAAAGAAGGGAGGGGUGUUAUGGCUAGAAAGGCUAUGAAAGGAUUUGUUUCGAUUAUGAUGAUAAUGGUGCUGGCCAUUUUUGUUCAAGCUGUGGUGCAAGCAGAUAAUCCUUCAUUUUCUUAUAUCUCUCCUAGUCACCCUCCCUCUCUCCCUCCUUUUUCGCAUUUUCCUCCAAUUAUCUCUCUCUCUCCAUAUCAUGAUUCUAAGCCUCACGGGAAAAACAAAAUGCCUGGUUCAGAAUUAACAUAUUCAGAAAGAAAAUGCUUGGAUAAAUGCAGAAAAAAGAUAAAAUACUCACGACUAUUGAAUCCCUUUCUCAAGAUGGGCUAUAUUUAUUGUAUUAGAAUAUGCUUGCGAUAUGAAUUACCAUGAGCCCUAAUAUUGAAUUCGGUUGAUUUGGGUGAAAUACAUGGAAUAUAUAUAAGUCUGUGCAAUUAAGGCCCACGUUGACAUUGUUACGUGAAUAAGAGACAUGAGUAAGGAGUCUCAUGGGGUACACGACGUCGCUGUAUAUGUGAAGAUCGAUGGGGUUAUCCAUUGAAAGCUGGAGUCGAUCAGUUUAAUUAGAUAAUUAGUCUAUAUAUGCAUAUAUAUAUGUUAGUUUACGUUGAAUAAGAAGUCUUUCUCCAAAUUAUCUCCAA